ensembl:snRNA U2 U2 spliceosomal RNA
AUCGCCUCUCAGCCUUUGGCUAAGAUCAAGUGUAGUGUUCUUAUCACUUUACUAUCUGCUAUCUGAGGACAGUAUAUUAAAUGGAUUUUUGGAGCAGAGAGAUGGAAUAGGACCUUGCUCCUUCCACUCCUUGCAUCCACCUGGUAUUGCAGUACCUGCAGGAAUAGUGCACCCACU